rfam:Stegodyphus mimosarum contig10014, whole genome shotgun sequence.
UUACCCUACUGAUGACUGGUCGUUGCGCUAGUAAUCCUGCUCAGUACGAGAGGAACCGCAGGUUCGGACACUUGGUACAUGUGCCUGGUCGAGUGACCAGUGGUGCGAAGCUACCAUCCGUGGGAUUAUGACUGAACGCCUCUAAGUCAGAAUCCCACCUAAUCACUGCAACGAUACCGUUUGUGCCAUGCGCGUCGGUGGGCUAUUUUAGCUGGAGCGUACAUCUGUCCCGUACGGGUCAGACUACUCCGGCGACGAGGCCUAUUCGACUCGGAACAAUCAAGGGGCCGCCGAGACUAUGUGGUCCCCGCUUAGAAAUCCACACCAUGCAGGUGUGACGUGCAGGCGCCAAAUCGUCUGUAGACGACUUAGGUACUGGUCUGGGUGUUGUAAGUAGAAGAGCAGCCACCAUACUGCGAUCUAUUGAGACUCGUCCUCUGACUGGAAGAUUUGU